AUGCCGUUCAAACUGAAACACUAGAAAAGAAACAAUUUCAACAUUCUAGAAACCAUGAAUCUUGAUGUUCUUCUUUUGCAAACCAAGCUGUUGAGUCAAAAACUCCAUUACCUUGAUACGUUGAUCACCUUGAAGUUGUAUAACUUCUCCCAAAUCAUCGUCCUUAACAAUGGUACCGUUGCAAGCAAAAUCUUUUUUCAAAGCACGCAAGAUACGCUUUUGGUCAAAUUCACGAGGAAGACCUUGAACAGUAGUUAAAGUCUUUCGGCCAUUUCUUUGCUGGAUGCGAAUAUGAAUGUUAUUCAGAGGCUGAGCAUCAUCAUCACCAGUGUCAGCAAAAGGAUCUAACACAUGUUAGUUUAGGAACCCUGACGGAAGCAGGUAAAAAAGACUUUUAAUCCAAAUUUUGAUAAAGCUGGAAUAAU